AAGAUACUCUCUCCGUCCAACAAAAGAUGUCUCAAGUUUGUCAAAAUUUGAAUAUAUCUAGACAUGACUUAGUGGUAUAGAUGCAUUCAAAUUUAGUCAAAAUGGAGACAUUAUUUUUGUUGGAUGGAGUGAGCAGUCU
rfam:Brachypodium distachyon strain Bd21 chromosome 4, whole genome shotgun sequence.